rnacentral:tRNA from 1 species
GGGCCGCUAGCUCAAUGGCAGAGCUGCUGACUUUUAAUCAGUAGGUUCGGGGUUCGAGCCCCCGGCGGCCCAC